AAUGAGUUCAGCUCAGAAGUCACAGAAAGGUCAUAUCACAAAGGGAGUGGCUCCUGAGGCGCAGGGAAGCCUUUAUUACUUUAACUAACCUCCUUGAGGGCAAUUUCACAUCCAUAAUACAAACUAUUCAAACAAUGUGCAAUGAAAGAGAAGAAAUAGCCUACACUACCAGGAGUGAGAUGAUAUAUAUCCUGUCUGUUCUGAAUGAACUGCUGUAGCAGACAUUAAAAAGGAAGGAAAUGUAUUUAUAGGAGCUGAAUUCUAAUAAACAC